rnacentral:rRNA from 1 species
UGGGGAAUUUUGCGCAAUGGGGGAAACCCUGACGCAGCAACGCCGCGUGCGGGAUGACGGCCCUCGGGUUGUAAACCGCUUUCAGCAGGGAAGAUAUUGACGGUACCUGCAGAAGAAGCUCCGGCUAACUACGUGCCAGCAGCCGCGGUAAUACGUAGGGAGCGAGCGUUAUCCGGAUUCAUUGGGCGUAAAGCGCGCGUAGGCGGCUGCCUAAGCGGAACCUCUAACCCCGGGGCUCAACCUCGGGCCGGGUUCCGAACUGGGCGGCUCGAGUGCGGUAGAGGAGAGCGGAAUUCCCGGUGUAGCGGUGGAAUGCGCAGAUAUCGGGAAGAACACCGAUGGCGAAGGCAGCUCUCUGGGCCGGCACUGACGCUGAGGCGCGAAAGCUGGGGGAGCGAACAGG